rnacentral:rRNA from 1 species
GCCUACGGGGGGCAGCAGUAGGGAAUCUUCCACAAUGGGCGAAAGCCUGAUGGAGCAACGCCGCGUGGGUGAAGAAGGUCUUCGGAUCGUAAAACCCUGUUGUUAGAGAAGAAAGUGCGUGAGAGUAACUGUUCACGUUUUGACGGUAUCUAACCAGAAAGCCACGGCUAACUACGUGCCAGCAGCCGCGGUAAUACGUAGGUGGCAAGCGUUAUCCGGAUUUAUUGGGCGUAAAGGGAACGCAGGCGGUCUUUUAAGUUUGAUGUGAAAGCCUUCGGCUUAACCGGAGUAGUGCAUUGGAAACU